rnacentral:rRNA from 1 species
CCUACGGGUGGCAGCAGUGAGGAAUAUUGGUCAAUGGACGCAAGUCUGAACCAGCCAUGCCGCGUGCAGGAAGACGGCUCUAUGAGGUGUAACCUGUUUUUGUACGAGGGUAAACUCAGAUACGCGGAUCUGUCUGAAAGUAUCGUACGAUUAAGGAUCGCCUAACUCCGUGCCAGAAGCCGCGGUAAUACGGAGGAGUAAAGCGUUAUCCGGAUUUAUUGGGUUUAAAGGGUGCGUAGGCGGUCGGUUAAGUUAGGGGUGAAAGCCCGAGGCUCAACUUCGGAAUUGCCUUUGAUACUGGUCGGCUGGAGAGUAGUUGCGGUAGGAGGAAUGUAUGGUGUAGCGGUGAAAUGCUUAGAGAUCAUACAGAACACCGAUUGCGAAGGCAGCUUACCAAGCUACUUCUGACGUUGAGGCACGAAAGCGUGGGGAGCAAACAGGAUUAGAUACCCCGGUAGUC